GACGAACGCUGGCGGCGUGCUUAACACAUGCAAGUCGAACGGAAAGGCCCUGCUUUUGUGGGGUGCUCGAGUGGCGAACGGGUGAGUAACACGUGAGUAACCUGCCCUUGACUUUGGGAUAACUUCAGGAAACUGGGGCUAAUACCGGAUAGGAGCUCCUGCUGCAUGGUGGGGGUUGGAAAGUUUCGGCGGUUGGGGAUGGACUCGCGGCUUAUCAGCUUGUUGGUGGGGUAGUGGCUUACCAAGGCUUUGACGGGUAGCCGGCCUGGGAGGGUGACCGGCCACAUUGGGACUGAGAUGCGGCCCAGACUCCUACGGGGGGCAGCAGUGGGGACUAUUGCACAAUGGGCGGAAGCCUGAUGCAGCAACGCCGCGUGCGGGAUGACGGCCUUCGGGUUGUAAACCGCUUUCGCCUGUGACGAAGCGUGAGUGACGGUAAUGGGUAAAGAAGCACCGGCUAACUACGU
rnacentral:rRNA from 1 species